rnacentral:rRNA from 1 species
UACGUAGGGUGCGAGCGUUGUCCGGAAUUAUUGGGCGUAAAGGGCUCGUAGGCGGUUUGUCACGUCGGGAGUGAAAACUCAGGGCUUAACCCUGAGCCUGCUUCCGAUACGGGCAGACUAGAGGUAUGCAGGGGAGAACGGAAUUCCUGGUGUAGCGGUGAAAUGCGCAGAUAUCAGGAAGAACACCCGUGGCUAAGGCGGCUCUCUAGUACGGUACUGACGCUGAGACGCGAAAGCGUGGGGAGCGAACAGG